AUCUGUGGAUUCUUCAUCUGUACAGGUCACAACACGUGAUGAUCAUGACGACUGCCAUCGACGCCAUUCCCAUUACAGACAUGUGUUCGACAAUGCAGAAAACGAAAAUUGUUUUUCGCCUUACUCAGCAUUCCAAGACUUGGAAUAUCUGCGACGA